rnacentral:rRNA from 1 species
GGACCUGACUGCUAUCGGAUUGAUACUAAGCCAUGCGAGUCAUUGUAGCAAUACAAGGCAUACGGCUCAGUAACGCGUAGUCAACCUAACCUAUGGACGGGAAUAACCUCGGGAAACUGAGAAUAAUGCCCGAUAGAACAUUAUGCCUGGAAUGGUUUAUGUUCCAAAUGAUUUAUCGCCGUAGGAUGGGACUGCGGCCUAUCAGUUUGUUGGUGAGGUAAUGGCCCACCAAGACUAUUACAGGUACGGGCUCUGAGAGGAGUAGCCCGGAGAUGGGUACUGAGACACGGACCCAGGCCCUAUGGGGCGCAGCAGGCGAGAAAACUUUGCAAUGUGCGAAAGCACGACAAGGUUAAUCCGAGUGGUUUCUGCUAAAGAAACCUUUUGUCAGUCCUAGAAACACUGAAGAAUAAGGGGUGGGCAAGUUCUGGUGU